rnacentral:rRNA from 1 species
UAGGCAAAUUUCUUUUCGCCUGUUUAAUAAAAACAUGGCUUUUUGAUAAUAAUUUAAGGUCAGGCCUGCCCAAUGAUAAUUUAAAUGGCUGCGGUAUAUUGACCGUGCAAAGGUAGCAUAAUCAUUAGUUUUUUUAUUGGAAGCUGGAAUGAAGGGUUUGACGAGAAAGAAGCUGUCUUAAUUUAAUUAUUUGAAUUUUAUUUUUGAGUGAGAAAGCUUAAAUAGUUUUGAGGGACGAGAAGACCCUAUAGAAUUUAAUAGUUUAUGUAUUUUAGAAUUUUGGUUUAUGUUAAUUGAUGUAAAUUUAAAUUAAUUUGUUGGGGUGAUAGGAAAAUUUGAAUAACUUUUUUUUGUAUUUUUCAUUAAUAAAUGAUUAUUUGAUCCAUUAGUAGUGAUUAUAAGAAAAAAUUACCUUAGGGAUAACAGCGUUAUUAAUCUGGAGAGUUCAAAUCGAUAGAUUAGAUUGCGACCUUGAUGUUGGAUUAAAAUUGGCUUUUGGUGAAGGGACUAAUAAGCUAAGUCUGUUCGACUUUUAAAAUUUUACAUGAUCUGAGUUCAGACCGG